rnacentral:rRNA from 3 species
CGUAGGUGACCUGCGGAGGGAUCAUUACACAAAUAUGAAGGCGGGCUGGAACCUCUCGGGGUUACAGCCUUGCUGAAUUAUUCACCCUUGUCUUUUGCGUACUUCUUGUUUCCUUGGUGGGUUCGCCCACCACUAGGACAAACAUAAACCUUUUGUAAUUGCAAUCAGCGUCAGUAACAAAUUAAUAAUUACAACUUUCAACAACGGAUCUCUUGGUUCUGGCAUCGAUGAAGAACGCAGCGAAAUGCGAUAAGUAGUGUGAAUUGCAGAAUUCAGUGAAUCAUCGAAUCUUUGAACGCACAUUGCGCCCUUUGGUAUUCCAAAGGGCAUGCCUGUUCGAGCGUCAUUUGUACCCUCAAGCUUUGCUUGGUGUUGGGCGUCUUGUCUCUAGCUUUGCUGGAGACUCGCCUUAAAGUAAUUGGCAGCCGGCCUACUGGUUUCGGAGCGCAGCACAAGUCGCACUCUCUAUCAGCAAAGGUCUAGCAUCCAUUAAGCCUUUUUUUCAACUUUUGACCUCGGAUCAGGUAGGGAUACCCGCUGAACUUAAGCAUAUCAAA